UCGGGGCGGAUCACCUAACCAAACUGCUAUUUCAACGUCCCGCAGAAAGGUCAGGAAAUGUCUGGUCGCCAGGGAGGUGAUCUGUCACACGGGCCCUCGCCAUCUCCCGAAGGAAGAUGAGAUCUGAAUAUUAAAUAUCGAAGGUAUGUGACGGAGUGGCACAACACAAACGAGUCUGUGGAGCGAGACCGACACUCAGAGAAAGGAGCCAGCUGCCAUGUGAAAAGCCCAACUACACGGAGAUCGACGUGCUGUGAAGCAGCCGGAGCCAGCAGUGUGGACAGAUCAUAGGGAGGAGAGCCAAGACACCUGGCUGGUGCCCCCAGCCCGUCAGCCAACGGAAUGCAGACACACAAACAGCUCCAGUGUUUUAGGUAACAAGCAAAAACUGGAAACAAGCCGGAUGUUCAUCACGAGAGGAAGGGACAAGCAGCUGACGGCGCGUCCAUAUAAUAGAACGGUGCUCCGCAGAGACCUGAGACGCAACAGCGUGCAACAGCAUGGCUGGAUCCCCGAAUGAACACGCCGAGUAAAAGAAGUUGGACACACACACAGAAAGAGCACUUCACGUGUAGAUUUCAUUUGCCUAAAAUGCUAGAGACUGCAAAUUAAUCUCUAAUGACAGCAAGCAGAUCAGCGAUUGCCUGGUGUG